rnacentral:rRNA from 1 species
GACGAACGCUGGCGGCGUGCUUAACACAUGCAAGUCGAACGGAAAGGCCCUGCUUUUGUGGGGUGCUCGAGUGGCGAACGGGUGAGUAACACGUGAGUAACCUGCCCUUGACUUUGGGAUAACUUCAGGAAACUGGGGUUAAUACCGGAUAGGAGCUCCUGCUGCAUGGUGGGGGUUGGAAAGUUUCGGCGGUUGGGGAUGGACUCGCGGCUUAUCAGCUUGUUGGUGGGGUAGUGGCUUACCAAGGCUUUGACGGGUAGCCGGCCUGAGAGGGUGACCGGCCACAUUGGGACUGAGAUACGGCCCAGACUCCUACGGGAGGCAGCAGUGGGGAAUAUUGCACAAUGGGCGGAAGCCUGAUGCAGCAGCGCCGCGUGCGGGAUGACGGCCUUCGGGUUGUAAACCGCUUUCGCCUGUGACGAAGCGUGAGUGACGGUAAUGGGUAAAGAAGCACCGGCUAACUACGUG